GCGACUUAGACUUCCCUCUGAGAAAAUCACCUGCUUGAAGAGCUCAUUCUCCCCGAAUGAGUACACAGGCACCAGAUCAGCCCUGCGGAAGAUCAUCAGAGAUUAAAGCAGCGCGUCCAGUAGUGGUCUGCUAGUUACAUGAGAGGAUGCCAAAGACUCAGCAGCACCCCCUAUCACAAUCACCACUGCAUUUCCCUUGCCACUCUUAGAAAGGAGGUGUGCAAGGCUUGGUUUGCUGACUGGAGAAAGGCCUAAUCAGACAAAGUAAGACAGUAACAACAGUUUAACUUUGGCUGGAGACUGUUGAUCUGUUUAAAGGCAAGAACAAAAACAG